rnacentral:rRNA from 1 species
AGUGAACGCUGGCGGUAGGCCUAACACAUGCAAGUCGAACGGCAGCACAGUAAGAGCUUGCUCUUACGGGUGGCGAGUGGCGGACGGGUGAGGAAUACAUCGGAAUCUACUUUUUCGUGGGGGAUAACGUAGGGAAACUUACGCUAAUACCGCAUACGACCUACGGGUGAAAGCAGGGGAUCUUCGGACCUUGCGCGAUUGAAUGAGCCGAUGUCGGAUUAGCUAGUUGGCGGGGUAAAGGCCCACCAAGGCGACGAUCCGUAGCUGGUCUGAGAGGAUGAUCAGCCACACUGGAACUGAGACACGGCACAGACUCUUACGGGAGGCAGCAGUGGGGAAUAUUGGACAAUGGGCGCAAGCCUGAUCCAGCCAUACCGCGUGGGUGAAGAAGGCCUUCGGGUUGUAAAGCCCUUUUGUUGGGAAAGAAAAGCAGCAGGUUAAUACCCCGCUGUUCUGACGGUACCCAAAGAAUAAGCACCGGCUAACUUCGUG